GAGGAAGGCGAUAAGGUUAAUAACCUUGUCGAUUGACGUUACCCGCAGAAGAAGCACCGGCUAACUCCGUGCCAGCAGCCGCGGUAAUACGGAGGGUGCAAGCGUUAAUCGGAAUUACUGGGCGUAAAGCGCACGCAGGCGGUCUGUCAAGUCGGAUGUGAAAUCCCCGGGCUCAACCUGGGAACUGCAUUCGAAACUGGCAGGCUAGAGUCUUGUAGAGGGGGGUAGAAUUCCAGGUGUAGCGGUGAAAUGCGUAGAGAUCUGGAGGAAUACCGAUGGCGAAGGCAGCCCCC
rnacentral:rRNA from 1 species